rnacentral:rRNA from 1 species
UACGUAGGGUGCGAGCGUUAAUCGGAAUUACUGGGCGUAAAGCGUGCGCAGGCGGCGCGUUAAGACAGGUGUGAAAGCCCCGAGCUUAACUUGGGAAUUGCGCUUGUGACUGGCGUGCUGGAGUGUGGCAGAGGGAGGUGGAAUUCCACGUGCCAGCAGUGAAAUGCGUAGAGAUGUGGAGGAACACCGAUGGCGAAGGCAGCCUCCUGGGCCAGCACUGACGCUCAUGCACGAAAGCGUGGGGAGCAAACAGG